rnacentral:tRNA from 1 species
UCUUUAUAGCUUAAUUAAGAGCAUAACACUGAAGAUGUUAGGGUGAAUCAUUUCUAAAGAUAU